rnacentral:rRNA from 1 species
GUGGGGAAUUUUGGACAAUGGGCGCAAGCCUGAUCCAGCAAUGCCGCGUGUGUGAAGAAGGCCUUCGGGUUGUAAAGCACUUUUGUCCGGAAAGAAAUGGCCUGGGUUAAUACCCCGGGUCGAUGACGGUACCGGAAGAAUAAGCACCGGCUAACUACGUGCCAGCAGCCGCGGUAAUACGUAGGGUGCGAGCGUUAAUCGGAAUUACUGGGCGUAAAGCGUGCGCAGGCGGCGAUGCAAGACAGAUGUGAAAUCCCCGGGCUCAACCUGGGAACUGCAUUUGUGACUGCAUGGCUAGAGUGCGUCAGAGGGGGGUGGAAUUCCGCGUGUAGCAGUGAAAUGCGUAGAGAUGCGGAGGAACACCGAUGGCGAAGGCAGCCAUCUGGCCUAAUACUGACGCUGAGGUACGAAAGCAUGGGGAGCAAACAGGAUUAGAUACCCUGGUAGUCC